GGAUCUCUUGGUUCUGGCAUCGAUGAAGAACGCAGCGAAAUGCGAUAAGUAAUGUGAAUUGCAGAAUUCAGUGAAUCAUCGAAUCUUUGAACGCACAUUGCGCCUUCUGGUAUUCCGGGAGGCAUGCCCGUCCGAGCGUCAUUUCACCACUCAAGCCUGGCUUGGUCUUGGGCGCCGCGGUUCGCCGCGCGUCUUGAACAUCUGCCUCUGCGUCCGUCACCGAGCGUUGUGCAUUCAACCGCUCCGGUCGCCGCCUGCAGCCGGCCCCCCUCUGUGGGAUCUUUCGCAUGAAACAGGUUGACCUCGGAUCGGGUAGGGUUACCCGCUGAGCUUAAGCAUAUCAAUAAGCGGAGGA
rnacentral:rRNA from 1 species